rnacentral:rRNA from 1 species
CUGACACGGGGAGGUAGUGACAAUAAAUAACAAUGCGGGGCCCUUCGGGUCUUGCAAUUGGAAUGAGUACAAUCCAAAUCCCUUAACGAGGAUCAAUUGGAGGGCAAGUCUGGUGCCAGCAGCCGCGGUAAUUCCAGCUCCAAUAGCGUAUAUUAAAGUUGUUGCAGUUAAAAAGCUCGUAGUUGGAUUUCUGGGGGGCGCGUUGGGUCCGCCCGGCAACGGGUGCGCACUUUUGACGUCCGUCUCCCAUCCUCGCGAAGAGCGGCCUCGGCAUUAACUUGUCGUGGGCCGGGACUCGCGUCGUUUACUGUGAACAAAUUAGAGUGUUUAAAGCAGGCGUUUGCUGUGAAUACAUUAGCAUGGAAUAAUAAGAUAGGACUUUGGUGCUAUUUUGUUGGUUUGCACACCAAGGUAAUGAUUAACAGGGACAGUUGGGGGUAUUCGUAUUUAAUUGUCAGAGGUGAAAUUCUUGGAUUUAUGAAAGACGAACUACUGCGAAAGCA